GCGAACGGGUGAGUAACACGUGGGCAAUCUGCCCUGCACUCUGGGACAAGCCCUGGAAACGGGGUCUAAUACCGGAUACUGACCCGCUUGGGCAUCCAAGCGGUUCGAAAGCUCCGGCGGUGCAGGAUGAGCCCGCGGCCUAUCAGCUUGUUGGUGAGGUAAUGGCUCACCAAGGCGACGACGGGUAGCCGGCCUGAGAGGGCGACCGGCCACACUGGGACUGAGACACGGCCCAGACUCCUACGGGAGGCAGCAGUGGGGAAUAUUGCACAAUGGGCGAAAGCCUGAUGCAGCGACGCCGCGUGAGGGAUGACGGCCUUCGGGUUGUAAACCUCUUUCAGCAGGGAAGAAGCGAAAGUGACGGUACCUGCAGAAGAAGCGCCGGCUAACUACGUGCCAGCAGCCGCGGUAAUACGUAGGGCGCGAGCGUUGUCCGGAAUUAUUGGGCGUAAAGAGCUCGUAGGCGGCUUGUCACGUCGGUUGUGAAAGCCCGGGGCUUAACCCCGGGUCUGCAGUCGAUACGGGCAGGCUAGAGUUCGGUAGGGGAGAUCGGAAUUCCUGGUGUAGCGGUGAAAUGCGCAGAUAUCAGGAGGAACACCG
rnacentral:rRNA from 1 species